UACGUAGGGUGCAAGCGUUAUCCGGAAUCACUGGGCGUAAAGCGUGCGUAGGUGGCGUGUUAAGUGUGAUGUUAAAUCGUGUGGCUCAACCAUAUCGAUGUGUCGCAUACUGGCAUGCUAGAGGACAGCAGAGGCAAGUGGAAUUUGUAGUGUAGCAGUGAAUGCGUAGAUAUUACAAGGAACACCAAUGGCGAAGCAGCUUGC
rnacentral:rRNA from 1 species